rnacentral:tRNA from 1 species
UGGCUCAAUGGUUAGAGCAUCGGCCUGCAGACCAGGGGGUCCCGGGUUCGAAUCCCGG